CCUGGGGGCAGAGCAGCCACAGGGAAGGAGUCACUGCAAAAUGGAAUCUCUUUCCCAGCUUCUCUGUGGGCUCCUGAUGCUUUGGGUCCCAGUUUCCAGGGGAGAAAUUGUGCUGACCCAGUCUCCAGCCUCGGUGUCUGUGAGCCCAGGAGAGAGAGUCACCAUCAGCUGCAAGGCCAGUGAGAGUGUCAUAACCAGUAAAGGAAACACUUACCUAAACUGGCUCCAACAGAAACCCGGACAGUCUCCUCGGAUGCUCAUUUACAAGGUUUCCAACCUGCACUCCGGAGUCCCUGCCCGCUUCAGUGGCAGUGGUGCUGAGAAGGAUUUCACCUUCACAAUCAGCAGUGUGGAGGUUGAAGAUGGGGCAGUCUAUUACUGUACUCAAGCAUCUUUUUAUCCUCGCACAGUGUUACAGCCCUGAACAAAAACCUCCCCAGGCCUGGGCUGGCUGC